rfam:Dehalococcoidia bacterium CG2_30_46_19 cg2_3.0_scaffold_3368_c, whole genome shotgun sequence.
GGGCGGUUAGCUCAGUGGUUAGAGCGCUGCGUUGACAUCGCAGAGGUCACUGGUUCAAGUCCAGUAUCGCCCA